rnacentral:tRNA from 1 species
UCAAGGAGUAGUUUAAAUAGAAUUUCAGCUUUGGGUGCUGAAGGUAGAGUCGUGUUCUCUCUCCUUGA